GUCUGAUUGGAACACCUGAAUUCAGUGAUGUCGAUGGGUGGGGACUUGGAUUGCUGGGGCCAUUUAAGGAGGAAAUCACGAAAUCAGGAAAAACAACCCCACACCAUAACCCCCUCACCUCGUCCCCCCAGACUCAUCCUCGGAUUCCCAGAUGGUGACAUGUGAUUGGUCACUCCAGAGAACACGACUCCACUGCUCUAGAGUCCCGGGGCGGCGCUUUACACCACUGCAUUUGACGCUUUGCAAUGAGCUUGGAUGCAGCUGCUCGACCAUGGAAACCCAUUCCCUGAAGCUCUCUCCGCUGCUCUUGAGCUGAUCUGAAGGCCACAUGGUGUUUGGAGGUCUGUAGUGAU